CAGCCGCCACGGUAAAACGUAGGGUGCAAGCGUUAAUCGGAAUUACUGGGCGUAAAGCGUGCGCAGGCGGUGUUGUAAGACUGAUGUGAAAUCCCCGGGCUCAACCUGGGAACUGCAUUGGUGACUGCAACGCUGGAGUGCGGCAGAGGGGGAUGGAAUUCCGCGUGUAGCAGUGAAAUGCGUAGAUAUGCGGAGGAACACCGAUGGCGAAGGCAAUCCCCUGGGCCUGCACUGACGCUCAUGCACGAAAGCGUGGGGAGCAAACAGGAUUAGAUACCCCCGUAGUCCCUGUCUCUUAUAC
rnacentral:rRNA from 1 species